UUCCGGUUGAUCCUGCCGGAGGUUACUGCUAUCGAGGUUCGACUAAGCCAUGCGAGUCGAAUGUAGCAAUACAUGGCGAACUGCUCAGUAACACGUGGACAACCUGCCCUUAGGACGGGGAUAAACCCGGGAAACUGGGUAUAAUACCCGAUAGGUCUCGAUUGCUGGAAUGCAUCGAGAUUUAAAGCUCCGGCGCCUAAGGAUGGGUCUGCGGCCUAUCAGGUAGUAGUGGGUGUAGCGUACCUACUAGCCUACGACGGGUACGGGUUGUGAGAGCAAGAGCCCGGAGAUGGAUUCUGAGACACGAAUCCAGGCCCUACGGGGUGCAGCAGGCGCGAAAACUUUACAAUGCUGGCAACAGCGAUAAGGGAACCUCGAGUGCCAGGUUACAAAUCUGGCUGUCGAGAUGCCUAAAAAGCAUUUCAUAGCAAGGGCCGGGCAAGACCGGUGCCAGCCGCCGCGGUAACACCGGCGGCUCGAGUGGUAACCGUUAUUAUUGGGUCUAAAGGGUCUGUAGCCGGCCGGAUAAGUCUCUUGAGAAAUCUGGCAGCUUAACUGUCAGGCUUUCAGGAGAUACUGUCUGGCUCGAGGCCGGGAGAGGUGAGAGGUACUUCAGGGGUAGGGGUGAAAUCUUGUAAUCCUUGAAGGACCACCAGUGGCGAAGGCGUCUCACCAGAACGGACCUGACGGCAAGGGACGAAAGCUAGGGGCACGAACCGGAUUAGAUACCCGGGUAGUCCUAGCCGUAAACGAUACUCGCUAGGUGUCGGCCAC
rnacentral:rRNA from 1 species